ACUACAAUUUUGUUUUAAAACUCCUCUUUUAACUUUGUGAUGUGUGGGGAGGGAAAUGCUGAGGGAUUCUUGCUUCUGGCACCAAAUACUAGGUACACAACAGGUGUAUCUCACUCUGAGGACAGAGUUAAGUAGGGAGUUUGCCUUGGGCAGUAUGUUGUCAAACCAAGAUGAAGGUGUUGUAAGUGAACUCAGUGAGGACAAAAAUCUGUUUCAGACCAAAAGACAAAAAGCUUGAUCAUUGUGGAUCUUUGGUAUGAAUACAGACCAUGAAAGUGAACCUUCAUAAUCCCUCUGAAUUGAGUUUUAAGGAGAUACCUG
rnacentral:ncRNA from 1 species